AACGAACGUUUGCGGCGGGCCUAACACAUGCAAGUCGAACGGGCAGUCCCUUCGGGGGCUGUCAGUGGCGCACGGGUGCGUAACACGUAGGUAAUCAACCCUCGGGUUCGGGAUAACACUUCGAAAGGGGUGCUAAUACCGGAUGCGACGAGCGUCUCCUCGGAGAUGCACGGGAAAGAUCCGCAAGGGUCGCCCGAGGACGAGCCUGCGGCCCAUCAGCUUGUUGGUGAGGUAAUGGCUCACCAAGGCUAAGACGGGUAGCUGGUCUGAGAGGAUGAUCAGUCACACUGGAACUGAGACACGGUCCAGACUCCUACGGGAGGCAGCAGUGGGGAAUAUUGCGCAAUGGGCGAAAGCCUGACGCAGCCACGCCGCGUGAGCGAUGAAGGCCU
rnacentral:rRNA from 1 species